AUUGAACGCUGGCGGCAUGCCUUACACAUGCAAGUCGAACGGUAACAGGUCUUCGGAUGCUGACGAGUGGCGAACGGGUGAGUAAUACAUCGGAACGUGCCCGAUCGUGGGGGAUAACGAAGCGAAAGCUUUGCUAAUACCCCAUACGAUCUACGGAUGAAAGCAGGGGACCGCAAGGCCUUGCGCGAACGGAGCGGCCGAUGGCAGAUUAGGUAGUUGGUGGGAUAAAAGCUUACCAAGGCGACGAUCUGUAGCUGGUCUGAGAGGACGACCAGCCACACUGGGACUGAGACACGGCCCAGACUCCUACGGGAGGCAGCAGUGGGGAAUUUUGGACAAUGGGCGAAAGCCUGAUCCAGUCAUGCCGCGUGCAGGAUGAAGGCCUUCGGGUUGUAAACUGCUUUUGUACGGAACGAAAAGACUCUGGUUAAUACCUGGGGUCCAUGACGGUACCGUAAGAAUAAGCACCGGCUAACUACGUG
rnacentral:rRNA from 1 species